rnacentral:rRNA from 1 species
UACGUAGGGUCCGAGCGUUGUCCGGAAUUAUUGGGCGUAAAGGGCUCGUAGGCGGUUUGUCACGUCGGGAGUGAAAACUCAGGGCUCAACCCUGAGCGUGCUUCCGAUACGGGCAGACUAGAGGUAUGCAGGGGAGAACGGAAUUCCUGGUGUAGCGGUGAAAUGCGUUGAUAUCGGAAGGAACGCCGGUGGCGAAAGCGCACGACUGGUCCUCUUCUGACGCUGAGGCGCGAAAGCCAGGGGAGCAAACGGG